rnacentral:rRNA from 1 species
UACGUAGGGUGCGAGCGUUAAUCGGAAUUACUGGGCGUAAAGCGUGCGCAGGCGGCUUCUUAGGCAUGACGUGAAAGCCCCGGGCUCAACCCGGGAGGGUCGUCGUGAACCGGGGGGCUUGAGGCCGGUAGAGGUGGGUGGAACUCCUGGUGGAGUGGUGAAAUGCGUAGAGAUCAGGAAGAACACCCGUGGCGAAGGCGGCCCACUGGGCCGGUAC